AUGGAUCGAGUCAGCACAAAGAUUCCUCUGAGCAAAGAGCUGCAGAAGCUGCUGCUGCUGGAGAAGCCUCUAGAGGAUGAAUUUGCUGUCGGUUCAGCAUCUCAGCAGGGUAACAAAUCAUUCACAAGGAAAGCUAAGAAAGCCCUGUCAUUUCCAGUAAGGCUGAAGCUGGGAUGGGCAUGCAGACUGUGACUUUUCUGUGGACAGGUAAUGUCCUGGUCACCAUUUCCAAUGAGGGUUCUGCUGCAUGCUGGAAAUUUAUAUCUCUCAGGAAAUAUCCUAUUGAAGAGUGACAUUGAAAGGGCAGUACACUCUUCUGUGAAGUGUCGAGUUUUAUACGUUUUUGCAGGAGGUAUUGAAUGAACUGGAACGAGAUCAGACAGGGAACUGUUUUGUGCUCUUAUUUGUGCAUUUGUAGAGUAAUCUGAUAGGUCUAGCUCCUCACUUUCCCUUGUGUGAGUCUCCCACAGAACAUAAGGAGAAGAGAAACACUCAGAGAAGCAGCUAAAAAUGGGCAAUAGUCCCUGAAGCUGCUUUGAUCCUCAAACAGAAUCCCUGUGAUAGGAGAGGGAUGGAAUUUGAAUCUCCUGAAAAUGUUCAGCAACAUCUUAAGGAGCAAGGAACCAAACUUCUGAUGUACUUGUGGCUUGCAAUAACCUUUCAAAGAGCUGGCACAGCUUUGGGGAACUAUAUUAUAUAGUUAUUUAGUGAGCUCAGCAGGCACUGGCUGCCUGGCUGUGGAGAUCCUCAUGCUCAUCUCUGCAAGCUUUUAGGACAGAUUUGUUUUCACUUGAGUAAUUUAAAUUUGUUCACUAUCAGGACAGUUCUGCUGCACAUUCAUUGAAGCCACAGAUGAAAGAAACCUUGUGAGGAGCUGAUUUCUGUUUGGCCUACAAAAGGUCAUGACUCUGGAGUGGAUAUUGUUUGUCAGGCACUGCAGUUACACACAGGAACAGCACAACCUUAAUGAGGAUGGCAGCUCAGCAAGAGGCUGGGGAUGUGCCUCAUGGCAUUCCUUUCUUUUGGAGUCCCUUUCUCCCAGUGUCUUUCAUCCUGCCCCACAAACAGCGAUGUAGGUUUGCAAGUCAAAGGAGAAUAAUUUUGUACUUCAAUGGUGAUGGCUUCUGUGAAAUGUAACUCACAGCGUGUGGUCAUGCUUUGCAUUGAGCUGGUUAGGAUUAUUUAGAAUUCUGUCUUUUUAUUUUUAUCAGGCCUGAAAAGAGUGCAUGAUGGUGCUUUAUUUUGCACUGCUGUGGAUAGGCUGCUAAACACGAAGAACAGUUUGAUUUUCUAACUAUUUUAUUGUCAAACACUAAUUAUAAAGUUAUUUUCAGUAAGGUACUUGAUUCAGAACUUACUGGGUUGCAUAUUAUGUUGUAAUUGGGUUUUACCUGUUAUCACAGCUGUUCCAGUGGUGAUUCUGCUGAUAUAUUUUAAGGAGGAAAAAGAGAAGAAAACAUUUGUGCUCUUUGAAGGAGCUUUUUCUCUACCUUGCUAUUAUUUGCUUUUGAUCUAAUUCUAUCUGUGUAAUGAGUGUGGAAAACUUAGAUUAUUUCAUGAUGUUUAGUACCUAAUUUUAGCUGACAUUUAGCCCUUACCACUGACUUCAGAUAAGGCUCCUGCACAUUUAAUGCAUUUCCAUAUAAAAUUCUUACUAAGGUGUUAAUCCUAUAUUAUAAAAGCCCUAAAUCUUAGUAGAAUAUGUAUUGCACUAAACUCUAACUUAAACUACUGAUUGAACUCACAGCAUCAAGGUACAGGGGGCCUGUGAUGUUCUUCAGAACCCUGAUUCAUUUACCAGAUCUGCUCAGGUUGAAUUACUUGAAAGGUGUAAAUGCAUUUGUGCAUGCAAUUUUUCCACACUACCCCAGCAGUAGUUUCUAAUCACACUGUUUAGCAUGUAGCACUGAACAGAAAUGUAUAUUUUUUUUUAUAAUAAGCUCCAUUCAACUGAAUUUACUGGGUUUUUUUGGUUUUUUUAAAUAAAUAAGCAGAUUAGUUGGAAAGAACUUGGUAU
ensembl:lncRNA